GAUUCCAGCAUUUCCUGACCGCUGUGGGCUGGGGACAGAGCCUUCGGGGAGCUCUGGACCCUGCCGUCAGGGUCGCGGCCGGCUCCCAUGGGCUGUGUGUGGGGUGGACCACCAGAAACCGGGGUGAGCAGGGAGGCAGCGGUCUGAACAGAAUCAGCUACCACAGCCCAGGAGGUGCCCCAAGACCGGGCCAGGGAAGUCACUAAGCCCCCUCAGAGGCCCCAGGCAGGGGUCAGCCCUGUGCAAGGGCAGGAGACCUCAGACCGCACCCGAGGUCAAGAAGAAAUGCGGUUUUUCUGGUGAGGGGAGGAGGGCAGCCAAGGGGUUGGCCGGUCCCCCAGCCUGUGUUCCUGCCCCUCGAGACCCAGUCGGGGAGGCCGUGGGGAGAAGGCCCGUCUCUGGAUGAAGACAGAGGUAAGACGCAGUGGCCUUUCCAGCCCCGGGGAGCAGAGCGGCACAGUCCCGAGCAGACGGGCACAGUCGGCCCUGCUGGGCUCCCCGCUGCCCGGGACUUUGCUGCUGGUGAUCCCAGGCCGUUGAGCUACGAGCGUGCGAGGGGAAGGAAGCUCCUGAGGCCUCGCGCCACAAGCUCCACCGCGCGGGGUCCUUUUGGCUACCCCAGGUCACGCCGGAGCUGACCUUCCCUCAGCUCCCUGGAGCCCACUUGGCCUCCUCUCCUCUGUCCUGCCUCUGCUCACUCUCCCCUUCGGCUCCACGCCCGGGGCCUCCAGGGCCGGCUCAGCCCCCCGUCCUCCGCCCACCGGCCCCUCCAAGCACCUGCCGCGGGGCCGCCAGGAAGCGCGUCUCUCACUUCCUCUUCUGUGCACACACGGUUUAAACCCAGCUUCGAACCAUAUCCUUGGGGCUUCACCGACCCUUACACUGUAAGACACUAGACACUCUCACAUUCUUGAAGCAGGAGCCAAUGCCUUCCCACAGGGGACGGACACACGCGGAUGCCCCCGUGCUCCCGAUGCAGGGGGGACCCGGUGGCAGAAGAGGAGUCAGAUUCGUCCUCGUCCUGUUGGAAUUCACCCUUGAACGGGGGAGAUAUGCCGGCUCUGGACCCCGGAAGCCGUGGUUGUGUUAGAAGUGAAAUACGGAUCCGACUGAUUUUCUGCCAACUCUCGCUUCCACAGAGCAGCCCAGCAUUUCAUUUAUUUUCUUUGCUGGUCCAGGAUCUGCAGCUAAGGGUCGUGUUUUUUCCUGUUUGCAAUCACAUUUGCAGUGAACUAGACAUCAGAACACCAGCCGACACGGUCGGUCAUUAGACCCAACAGAUACGGAGUUACUCUGCGCUCCGCCGGGCCUGCUGUCACGUCCUGUCCUUGGGCUCACGCCGCGCGUCAGGUCCUGGACAGAGGUUCGCCUCUCCGAGGGAGUCUGUGGGUGCUUGCACGUGUGUUAACGUGCCGAAUCUUCCACACGCACCUUUCAUGACGAGGAGACUCGGCCCACAUCCCGACAAGUGGGACGUGAGAGCCGGCCGAGGGGAGCUGCUUGCACAACACCGAGGCUUCCUUUCAGGCUUCGCUUUGUUUCUACCGUUAAUCCUGGCUAUGAUUUCUUCUUGGCUGUUUUCGAUCAAAACGACUGGUUUUACGUAGCACUUGUUGUGCUCUCUGGCUUCCCAGAGGAGGCGGCCAUGUGCGUGACAAGUGUGGGCUCAACGGGGUUGGUCCCCGAGCUGGGUCCCAGCGCUCCACUGAAGACGUCAUCUCCCUGGUCCCUGACUGCUUUGGGAAACACCUAGUUAACUCCACAAAGGCCACAUGAUGCCCAGAGGCAGGCUCUGUGUUUUCUGCCCGCAGACGCCUUGCCUGCAUACGACACUAUGGUGUCCUCUGGAAAGGUGAACCACAUCCAGGCAGAAGCUUCUGAGCGACAUGCGUGGGUCCCGCACCAGCUGCAAGUGGCCGGGGACCCAGUGUUUGGAGGGGAGGCAGCUGGCGGUCCCGGGACACGUUGGAUGUCUCCUCUCUGGGGGCAUCACACUGGGAGUGUAGGAGCCGGUCACACGGGGCUUUGUGUGUCCCAGAGGGAAGGAGCCCCUCAUCCUCAGGGACACCGACUCCUGGGCUGGAAAGGCUCCGCAGGGUGCGGCCGCCCCAAAUCAAAGUCUCUGCACCUAGGCUUUGUUCCAGUCCCCAUGCCCGAGCCCAUGUCACGGUGCUGCAGCCGGCGCUCUGACACGGGAGGUUGGCGGGGCUCCGUGCGGGCUUCUCACGCACGGUGAGGCCUGGAGGUCAAAUAGCCUUUUGCCUUUUGCCUGGGCUGCUCCCCGCCCGCGCCCGUGUGUCCCACGGGGAAUCUGAGCUCCUGCCGCGGGUGCGUGGGGGCAUCUCGGUGGGGCUUUGCUGUCCUCCACUCCAAUGACGGCUGCGGCGCGGCACCCGCCGGGGCGCGCUCUCGGAUCCCGUCUCUGCCCGUUUUUACGAUGGGUCGUUUCCUAAUUAUUAUUCCCAUCCUAGCCUGGAAGACUCCCUUGAACUCACUGAAAAGAGGUUAAAUAUUUGGUGAUAAAAAUGGAACGGAUUUCGAGAACACUA